GAGGAAUAUUGGUCAAUGGGCGAGAGCCUGAACCAGCCAAGUAGCGUGAAGGAUGACUGCCCUAUGGGUUGUAAACUUCUUUUAUAAAGGAAUAAAGUCGGGUAUGCAUACCCGUUUGCAUGUACUUUAUGAAUAAGGAUCGGCUAACUCCGUGCCAGCAGCCGCGGUAAUACGGAGGAUCCGAGCGUUAUCCGGAUUUAUUGGGUUUAAAGGGAGCGUAGAUGGAUGUUUAAGUCAGUUGUGAAAGUUUGCGGCUCAACCGUAAAAUUGCAGUUGAUACUGGAUAUCUUGAGUGCAGUUGAGGCAGGCGGAAUUCGUGGUGUAGCGGUGAAAUGCUUAGAUAUCACGAAGAACUCCGAUUGCGAAGGCAGCCUGCUAAGCUGCAACUGACAUUGAGGCUCGAAAGUGUGGGUAUCAAAC
rnacentral:rRNA from 1 species